UACAGAGGGGGCAAGCGUUGUUCGGAAUUACUGGGCGUAAAGGGCGCGUAGGCGGCCUUCUAAGUCGAACGUGAAAUCCCUGGGCUCAACCCAGGAACUGCGUCCGAUACUGGAAGGCUUGAAUCCGGGAGAGGGAUGCGGAAUUCCAGGUGUAGCGGUGAAAUGCGCAGAUAUCUGGAGGAACACCGGUGGCGAAGGCGGCAUCCUGGACCGGUAUUGACGCUGAGGCGCGAAAGCCAGGGGAGCAAACGGG
rnacentral:rRNA from 1 species